rnacentral:lncRNA from 1 species
UGUUUGUAUUCGUUUUAAUUUGCAACAUAUGCAAUCUGUUUAAAACAGUGAAGUUACUUCAGUGUUGACAUGAAUAUAAAUAUGGUCAUUUUUAUAAAUUUCCUGUUUACAAAACUUUGAAUUUUUACAAAAACUAAGGAAUUUCUUAUCCCAGGAAUAGAUUACCUUAGCCGUAUUUGGCACAACUUUUUGGAAUUUUGGAUCCUUAAUGCUCUUCAACUUUGUUUUUGUUUGGCUUUACAACUAUUUUGAUAUGAGCGUCACUGAUGAUUCUUAUGAAGACGAAACGCGCGUCCGGCGUACUAAAUUAUAAUCCUGGUACCUUUGAUAACUAUAAACAGGUUAAUCAUGUUACAAUUGAUGUUAAAAACAAAAAUCUAUCUAUACAAGCUUAAAACAAAGUGAUACAUAUAGAAUAUAAUAUUUUGUAACUGAGACAAAUUUAAGUGAGAUACAGAAAAUGAAUUGAUUGCAAUUUGAUUUGCCUGUUUUCGAUAGUAAAACUUGAAACAGAUUGAGAUAAAG